AUUGGGACUGCAAAGCCUAAAGGCGUAAUGAAAGUGAAGGUCUGACCUUGCGUCGACCGAGGGAGGAUGGCUCGCGUCACGAUGCGAGCCCGCACUCCCGGGGCGUCUCGCGCUCAUUGCGAGCGGAGGCGCACCCAGAGCGUACACGUUGGGACCCGAAAGAUGGUGAACUAUGCCUGGUCAGGACGAAGUCAGGGGAAACCCUGAUGGAGGUCCGUAGCGAUUCUGACGUGCAAAUCGAUCGUCGGAACUGGGUAUAGGGGCGAAAGACUAAUCGAACCAUCUAGUAGCUGGUUCCCUCCGAAGUUUCCCUCAGGAUAGCUGGCACUCGCGUGAGCGAGUCUCAUCUGGUAAAGCGAAUGAUUAGAGGCCUUGGGGCCGAAACGACCUCAACCUAUUCUCAAACUUUAAAUGGGUGAGAUCUCUGGCUUGCUUGAACGUUGAAGCCACGAGAUUUAUAUUUUUAAUAUAAACGGAUCAGAGUGCCAAGUGGGCCAAUUUU
rnacentral:rRNA from 1 species